UAUCAAGUUAACAACUAUUUUUAAACAAUCACAAUCUAAUGCUGAUGAAAUUCGGCAUAUUAAGAGCAAUUACAUUUUUACUGCUAUGAUUGCAAAUUGAUACAGUAUAACAGUAGAUUAUUUGGCAUUAGGUAUCAACAGCUUUUAAAAUAGUCAUCCUCUUGACCCAAAUAUUGGAAAUCUAUCAUUAAAAGGGUCUUCUGAGCAGAUUUUAU
rnacentral:lncRNA from 1 species